CCUACGGGUGGCAGCCGUAGGGAAUAUUGCUCAAUGGGGGAAACCCUGAAGCCGCAACGCCGCGUGGAGGAUGAAGGUUUUCGGAUUGUAAACUCCUUUUGUUAGAGACGAUAAUGACGGUAUCUAACGAAUAAGCACCGGCUAACUCCGUGCCAGCAGCCGCAGUAAUACGGAGGGCGAAAGCUUUACUCGGAAUCACUGGGCGUAAAGCGCGCGUAGGCGGGAUUGCAAGUCAGAGGUGAAAUCCUAGGGCUUAACCAUAGAACUGCAUUUGAAACUGUUAUUCUAGAGUAUGGGAGAGGUAGGUGGAAUUCGUGGUGUAGGGGUAAAAUCCGUAGAGAUAAAGAGGAAUACUCAUUGCGAAGGCGACCUGCUAGAACAUAACUGACGCUGAUGCGCGAAAGCGUGGGGAGCAAACAGGAUUAGAUACCCGGGUAGUC
rnacentral:rRNA from 1 species